AAGAUUAAGCCAUGCACGUGUAAGUAUAAACAACUUUGUACUUGUAAGACUGCGAAUGGCUCAUUAAACCAGUAAUAGUUUAUUUGAUGAUAGUUAUUUCACUGAAAUAUCAUACUUGGAUAACUGUGUGAAAACAGAGCUAAUACAUGACCAAACACUGGCAGCAAUGCCGGUGGUGAUUAUUAGUUAAGCAAUCAAUAUGCAAAUAGUUGUAUAGUGAUGAUUUAUAAUAAUUUAUGAAUCGAGUGCCGUAAGAGGUGCUGGAUGGAUCAUAUAAAUUUCUGACCGAUCAACUUUCGAUGGUAGUAUAGAGGACUACCAUGGUGAUAACCGGUAACGAAGAAUUGUGGGUUCGAUAUCGGAGAGGGAGCCUGAGAAACGGCUACCACUUCUACGGAUGGCAGCAGGCGCGUAAAUUACCCAAUCCUAAUAGUAGGGAGGUAGUGACAAUAAAUAUCAAGCAGUGCCCCGAAUGGGGUAUUGAAUUGAAAUGAGAACAAUGUAAAUAUCUUAUCAAGUAGCAAUUGGAGGGCAAGUCUCGGUGCCAGCAGCCGCGGUAAUUCCAGCUCCAAUAGCGUAUGCUAAAGUUGUUGCAGUUAAAAAGCUCGUAGUUGGAUUGAACUUGUAUGAGGCACUUGUAGUGGGUAAUACUACUACUGGUGACGAAGACAGGAGAUAUCAUUCAGUAGAGAAAUCUAAUGGAUGAGGUUUACUUUGAGUAAAUUAGAGUGAUUCAAGCAACCUGUAAUUGGGGUUUUGGAUAUUUUAGCAUGGGAUAAUGGAAUGAUUGAUUCAAUUAC
rnacentral:rRNA from 1 species